GUACCAGUGGUGUAGAGGUAUCAUGCAAGGUUCCCAACCUUGUGACCCGGGUUCGAGUCCCGGCUGGUGCA
rnacentral:tRNA from 1 species